AUGGCAUCGGACAGGGACAGCUCCAGCCACAAUAAAAACCAGCGGCAGGAUGUCUGCUGUGCUCUGCCAAGGGUAGUUAGGAGCCUUUUUCCCAAAAAAAUCAGGGAAGGGUGUUUCUCGUGCCCAGCCUGCGUUCUCCGAAAGGGCAGCUGCCCAAAGGUCUGGAAAAGAGAGACUGUUAGAGAUGAAAUGGAAUCAAAAGCCCAGAUCACAAACACCCAUCAAACCUCAGAAGCUCAGGUCCAGAUCUGCCUCUCAGACAGCUGUGGAGAAGGGAAGAACACGAAGCAUUGCCUGGGGCACAGCUUCCAGCCCUCAGGAGGUGGCAUCAGGGACCACAUUUUGCAGCUGAUUUUUCUGUCUGAAAUGGUCUUAAUCAUCCUCAGACCUGGCAGCAGGGAAGUCACUCUGGGGUCACAAUUUCUGUUUCUUUGGCCCAUGUCAAAGAAAUUAAAAUGA
ensembl:lncRNA